ensembl:lncRNA
UAUUUUCUAUACAAAAUGUUUAAUUACAAUUAAUAUAUACAAAUACAUUGCCGACCUGCAUUUGUAUACCAGAAUCAUAUCAAUCAUACAAUAAACGACGGGAAAUCUGUUUACAUAAAAAAUGUACAGUACAUUUUUACAUAAUCUUCCCAAUGCUAUUGGAUGGAGGAAUUGAACUGUUUUGGACUUUGGCUUUGACAUAUGUACAAAUGUAAAAACACAGUAGCCUAAUUCUAGAAAAUCAAAACAUACAUUCAGACACAAAUACACACACACUUUCUUCAAUUGCCAUAGAAUAGAACAUAUGUUACAUAUGCAUCAGCUCUUCGUACUUUGAAAGGCCACGAUGAAUGAAAGGUUAGAAAAAUUGGUCAAGAAAGUCUUAAGAGAGUAUAACAAUGUGUGUGUCGGGCGGGCGGUGUCUCCAGGUAUCUCAUCAAUAGAUGGCAGUGCCAGCACUGAAGCCUCUAAGGCUAUAAAAUAGAAUCUUCUCAUUUCUUUGUACAUCAAAAGCAGAGUCAGCCACAGCAGAAAAAAACAAAUACAAUCUAGUUUUAAUGUCUACAAUGACUGCUGUCCGCACCACUGUGGCGUGGUGUGUCCGGUGAGAACAUAAACUUCAUUAGUUGCCCCCGAUAUAGCCUACUCUUUUUGUCACAUCAUUGUAUUAUAUGUACACUCACAGAGGUGGUGAGGAAUCUAGGCCCUAUCUGGACAUGUAUACAAAUAAAAAAAAGGCCAUUAACCAGGGAGCUUAUAUCAAAUAAAUCAAUGGGUCAAUAUCCAGAAAAGGUUUCCUUCAUCAUCUCUCAAGUAGAAGAACGCCCAGUACCUGUUGCUCUCUAUCCUCUCUAUCCUGUCGGUCAUUUGUUGUAGGCUAAAUGGGAGGUGGAUUUGUAGUUAAAAAAAGGGGUUACCUCUAAUUAUAAAGAAAUCAAAUAUAUACAUUAACGCGAGUACACAUUGUCGUGUCACCUGGCAAUUGUAGUGUUCGUAAACCGUUGCGAUACCGCAGCAAAUAUGACGAGAACCGCCACUUCUGAUACUUGUUGCCGAAGCAAGGCGGUGGGGGUUUGGCAUUACAGCCAGACAGGGCCGUAGCACCAAAUCCUGGGCCCCUAUACUAUAGGUUGUUGACGGGGGGUCC